ACCUUCCUAUUAUAAGAAAAAGUCAGAAGGGCCAUGGUUCAAAUAAAAUAUUAAUAAAUGAUAAGCUUAAGGAGCCUAGAGCUUGAGCUAUAUUGGUAGAUAAUGCCCCACCUCCACCCCAGCUUUCUAUUCCAGUUAAUCAUGUGACUGACAAGUAACAGAACUAAAACUGUUUGACUCCUAGGUGACAGCAAGAAGUUCUUGGAACUUGGUUUAAUGAUUAUCUUGACUUUUAAAGUUUGUUUUCUCUAUUAUGCUUAUGUGAUCUUAUCGCUUAUAUGUGACUAUAUUACAAGAUUAUUCAAUUUUAAACAUGAUAGCUGAAGGAGAAGGCUUCUGGAAGCAACAAUAUAUUAUAAGAGGUUCUUCUCCUUGGUCUCCACAACUUGCUGUCAUAGAAAUGAUGAACUUCAUGAAGCCACCACUUUCCUAGAAUUAGAAGAAACUACCAUAAAAUUCAUA